AUGCUUCUAUUAUUGAUCUGGAGUUGGGAGUACUUGCCAGUGGGGCGGCCGACACCAAAGGGUUACGACCCGUGGGAUGAUCAUCAUGACCCAAACCAUAUGCCUACAUGGGCAUAUAAGUGGGACAAGAUUGAAGGUUUUGUUGGCAAUUCAAAGACCAUGUAUUUGCACUACGACAACGAGCUUGACAUCAUGACCCCGGAGUAG
rnacentral:rRNA from 1 species